rnacentral:rRNA from 1 species
CAGUCGCCACGGGAAUACGGAGGGUGCAAGCGUUAAUCGGAAUUACUGGGCGUAAAGCGUGCGUAGGCGGUUCGUUAAGUCUGUUGUGAAAGCCCCGGGCUCAACCUGGGAAUGGCAAUGGAUACUGGCGAGCUAGAGUGUGUCAGAGGAUGGUGGAAUUCCCGGUGUAGCGGUGAAAUGCGUAGAGAUCGGGAGGAACAUCAGUGGCGAAGGCGGCCAUCUGGGACAACACUGACGCUGAGGCACGAAAGCGUGGGGAGCAAACAGGAUUAGAUACCCCGGUAGUCCCUGUCUCUUAUAC